AGGGGUUUAGCUCAGUGGUGUAAGUGCCUGUUUGGAAAACACGAAGUUGUGAGUUCAAUCCCCGUACCCCGA
rnacentral:tRNA from 1 species